rnacentral:ncRNA from 1 species
AAAAGACUUAGUCCUAACCUUACUAUUAAUUCUUGCCAGACCUAUACAUGCAAGUAUCCGCGUCCCAGUGUAAAUGCCCCUAGUCCCUUACCAAGACAAGAGGAGCGGGCAUCAGGCACACUCAUUGUAGCCCAAGACGCCUUGCCUAGCCACACCCCCACGGGUACUCAGCAGUAACUAACAUUAAGCAAUAAGUGCAAACUUGACUUAGUCAUGGCAACACCAGGGCUGGUAAAUCUUGUGCCAGCCACCGCGGUCACACAAGAAGCCCAAAUUAAUCGUCCACGGCGUAAAGAGUGGCCCAACACUAUCGUCCCACGCCUGAGGCCCAGAUAUGUCCAAGCCGUCACAAGCCCAAGACACCUUCAAGCCCCCACCAUCCCCGCCUCAGCCUCAACGAUCAACUACCCCCACGAAAGCCAGGGGACAAACUGGGAUUAGAUACCCCACUAUGCCUGGCCGUAAAUUCAAAUGUCCUUUCCCCCAACCCAAACAUUCGCCAGGGAACUACGAGCACAAACGCUUAAAACCCUAAGGACUUGGCGGUGUCCCAAACCCAUCUAGAGGAGCCUGUUCUAUAAUCGAUAACCCACGCUACACCCAACCUCCCCUCGCCCCAAGCAGCCUAUAUACCGCCGUCGCCAGCUCACCUCCCCUGAGAGCCUAACAGUGAGCACAACAGCNNUACCCGCUAAAAAGACAGGUCAAGGUACAGCCCAUGAGGAGGAAAGAAAUGGGCUACAUUUUCUGACUCAGAAGACUGACGAAAGAGGACNNNAAAAUANNCCUCAGAAGGCGGAUUUAGCAGUAAAACACGACCACCACGCUUGUCUUAAACUGGCCCUGGGACACGUACAUACCGCCCGUCACCCUCAUCGGAAGCUCAUCCCCCUAACCCCAACUAGACCCCCCNNNCCCGCCAAAGAUGAGGUAAGUCGUAACAAGGUAAGUGUACCGGAAGGUGCACUUAGCAUAC